AUAUGAGAGAGUUAUCUAGCUGUAACUUCUGUGCCUGUACUGGUCAUCAAGGUUGAUGUGGCUGACCUGGGUGGCUAGGUGGGCUUCCCCUUCCUCCCUCGCCAGUCUAUGUGCCUCUGUCCCAAACCUGCACACUUGGUGGAAGAGGAUUGCCACCCUGAUAGCAGAGGACUAUUUCCUUAUUCAAGGGUACACAAGUAGCUGCCUUAGUGCAGGGUCCCAUGCAAGUCUAUAUCAGAGUCUACAAUGGAAACUUAAAGACUAUGUUGGCAGACUGAAAGAUAUGUGCUGAAAAUG
rnacentral:snRNA from 1 species